CCUGUAUCUACAGCACUGACCUUUGACCCUGAGCAGCACUUGUUUCUUCUUCAGGAUUUUUCUCUCCCUGCUGUAGACGGUGCAGGUGAAGUCUCUGUCUCUGUAUGUGGGGUAUUUCAGGGUCAGACUGAGGUCUCCAGGUUCCAGCAGGUUUCUCUUCAUCUCUGUUCGGUCUCUGUAAUACUGGUGCUGUUCUUCAGGCUGAUCAGAGCCGUUCUGAUACACAUGGACCUUCCUGUUGUCACUGUCCAUCCACACCACUGUGACGUCCUCAGGCAGGUGAACUGUGGUUUUGCAGUUUGAUCUUAUUUGGAGUUAUUUUUAGCUACAGGGACACAUUAGCUACAGGAGCCCCAGUAUGCUUUGACACUUUAAGAUCUGAACUUUCAACACAAAAACAUCUUAUUUCAACUUUUAGUCUUUUGGCUUCUGUGAUAUUAUAUUUUACACUUUAUCUUCAAACUAAAUAUUUCCUUAACCAUUCAGUGUUUGGAAGUCAAUAACAGUAUUUUGAGAUCAGUUCUUUGACUCUGGCAGCAGCGCUCUGAAUCAGACACAGUUAUAUCCAUUGAUAAAUUUAAGUACAUCAUAAAGAAUAUGGUGACGGAGGCAUGUGGUUGUUUUUCUUGAGAAGCCAUUGUAUUUGUAUAGUUUGUGUUUUAUUGAUAUUAUGUUAAAUAUGCUGUAUCUUAAUAUGUUGUGAUUUUCUAAAGCUGCUGCCUUGGCCAGGUCUCUCUUGUAAAAGAGAUUUUAGAUCUCAAUGGGACUUCUUGGUAAAAUAAAGGUAAAACAAAAAAUAAAUAAAAAUGGAUCAUUUAAGUCUGGCUGUAUUUUUAAGGUGGUAGUAGGAUGGUCUUGUGAUUCUGUUGAUGUGGGUUUUUGAUUUUUAGGACUGAGUCUAGAACUACACCAAGAUUUCUGACAUGGUUAUGCUACGAGCCAGAAAACUGAUGUUAUAUUAUUAACCAUAGAGCUAACAUUAUGCUAUUAACCAUAGAUGUACAAUAGUGCAUUCUAUUGCAGUGACAGCUUCCCUCAGUGUUAUUAAAGAUAUGAUUGGAUGAUCAGUAAACAUUGAUGGUUGACUUUUUGUUGGUUUCAUAAUCAGAUAUGAGCCAAACGUCAGUCCUUCAUGUCUCAGACUAAUCUUUGUUAUUCCAGCUGAUCUGGAUCUGAUGCAGAUAUUUAG
rnacentral:lncRNA from 15 species